rnacentral:lncRNA from 1 species
AUAUUGUCCCCAAUGUUUCAAAAAAACGAAAGAAAAGGAAAAAUAAAUAAAAAUGGUACUCAAACUCAAUUCUGCCUGCGUCCUCUUGUUCUCGGACCCGGUGAUCGUUCACGUACUGCCAAGUCAUCAAACCUGUUAAGCAAGUCAGUGAACCUCUGGUCGGUUAUUGCAAAUUCUGCCUGCGUCCUCUUGUUCUCGGACCCGGUGAUCGUUCACGUACUGCCAAGUCAUCAAACCUGUUAAGCAAGUCAGUGAACCUCUGGUCG